GUUCAAACAUUGACCAUCGCUGAAUACGUUAAAAAUUUGAAUAGCUACAAAGUUUUACCAACAAAGGAAACAUUGAGAAUAUCUGUUCAGAACAUAUUCAGUAAGAAGACAUACAGUCUGUGGCAACUUCAUGGUAAAAAUAACGCUAACUUUAUUAGCUUAACGCAGUUAUUAGCUUAACAUAGUAUUGAUUCUUGUUAAGAAUGUGUGUCAUCUCUGUGUCAAAAAGAAAUUAAUAAAUUGUGUCAAAAACAACGAAAAUAUUAUUUCAACAGCAGUAUUGAUUAUUCUUUUGAAUGGACCAACUAUGACAGUAAAACCGGAAAAAACGUAGCUUUAUGUACAGAAUAACUCAUACAGGUAAAACUUCUCGUAUAUUUACUAGAAGCAUUUAAUUGUUUCCCGCUUGUAUGUCAGGGUGUUGAUGGAGUAACCAAAUAUCUCAUUCACAUUCAUAUGUUCUGAACAAUGAGUUUAAAUUAAUAUGCUGAUCAACUAAGCAUCAAUGCAUUAUUUUCUACUUUCUAGCGCACAAAUUUACUAAUGAAUCCAUUAUGUACAUAACGGACGAAGAUUUGACGACGGUUGGCAUAACAGAAAUGGAACCACGCCUUAUCGUAAAAUCUGUGAUAGCGAAACUCAUAAUGACAUACAAGUCCGAAGAGCCAACAGCGGAGCCAUCUCAAUCAUCAAAUCAAUCAUCCUUUUCUUCGAUUCGUGACGCACUAAAAGGCAAUAAAAAGACCAUGAAAAUUUUGUACUGCAAGCUGAAUGCAAACUUAAUACCUACACAUAAGGAGCUCCUUUUGAUAACCAGGGUGGUGUGCGCUGAAAUGGUUUCCAAUCUUUUAAAAAACAAAAAAUACCCUUCUUUUGAAGAAAAGAAAGCUUUGGCGUCAGAACUGGUAGAAACCUUUCCAAUACUGCAGGAAACUAAAGUGGCAGAUUCGUCCCCGGACUAUUCAAUGUUCUUUUGGAAAAAUGGUGGACGCGGCCCUAACUUCGAACACACUGGUCUAAUCCAAUCGCAUAUAAGAAAUGCUUGCAAAAAUCUUGCGCCAGAAGAACGAAAGUUUAUUCACAAAGCGAAAAAAAAACGGAGAAAGUGCUCGUUUCCACGGAAGUUGUUCAAACAGCUCACGACUGUGCUUGCAAAGACCCGGUAUCUAAAAAUUUCAGCACGAUACUUAAAUGUAUGAACGACACUCAUAGUCUUCACAUGAUGCUUUAGAAGAGAAAAAAACUGUCAAAGAAAUUUUUGCUGUGUUCCCGCAUCUAAAAUCCUACAAUGGCGUUAUGAUCCAAAAGACAUACGAAAGAAUGAACCCUACACUUGAUAGAGAGUCUAAUCAGAAAAACGUCCUAGUAAGAGGACUAUUGAUUGAAAAUGAAACCUUCGCGACAGUUGGAGAUGAUAAUUUGCGAGGAUGUCUGAGAAUUCUGAUGACUCUGAGCAGAAAAGGUGUCAAAAGCCAAGGCGGAAUUGAAUGUUUGUCGGCCGAGGAACAAAUUGCAGCGCCACUGGUUAGAUGGAUUUCGGAUCAAUCAACAUCCCUUCCAGAACAACUAGCCAAAUACGUCGCAUGGAAUUUGGAUUCGCCCGUAGAUCAACAUUUGAUAACUGAUGGUACAAACUUUUACUUAUAUGUUGAAGGAGAGAUAGUGGAGUGUGGAACUUCAUCACUUCAUGCUAUGGACAUCCUCUUCAAAUGUUUUUGCGUUUUUAAGUUGAAAGUUCCACCUUCUUGAAAAAGGGUUGUAGAGUUUUUUGAAAUUAUCACAUUCGUUAAUAAGCCUUU